rnacentral:lncRNA from 1 species
UUGUUUUCUCUUAUUUUUGAGUGUAAAUUGACAUUGCGAUAAGACGUGUCACGGUACUUGUCUAUCCCAAAUUCAUGUAUUUGGUUUUGAUGUUAUAUUUGUUAUUCUCGUGGAAUUUUGUCUGAUGCUUGGUGCGUUGCUGUGUGCGUUAGUUACAUUGUAGUGUUGUGUCGUUGUUUUCCUCUUAUAUUUAUGCGUUUCCCUCAGUUUUAGUUUGUUACCCCA